GACGAACGCUGGCGGCGUGCCUAAUACAUGCAAGUUGAGCGCUGAAGGUUGGUACUUGUACCAACUGGAUGAGCAGCGAACGGGUGAGUAACGCGUGGGGAAUCUGCCUUUGAGCGGGGGACAACAUUUGGAAACGAAUGCAAAUACCGCAUAAAAACUUUAAACACAAGUUUUAAGUUUGAAAGAUGCAAUUGCAUCACUCAAAGAUGAUCCCGCGUUGUAUUAGCUAGUUGGUGAGGUAAAGGCUCACCAAGGCGAUGAUACAUAGCCGACCUGAGAGGGUGAUCGGCCACAUUGGGACUGAGACACGGCCCAAACUCCUACGGGAGGCAGCAGUAGGGAAUCUUCGGCAAUGGACGAAAGUCUGACCGAGCAACGCCGCGUGAGUGAAGAAGGUUGUCGGAUCGUAAAACUCUGUUGGUAGAGAAGAACGUUGGUGAGAGUGGAAAGCUCAUCAAGUGACGGUAACUACCCAGAAAGGGACGGCUAACUACGUG
rnacentral:rRNA from 1 species